rnacentral:rRNA from 1 species
GAUGAACGCUGGCGGCGGGCCUAAUACAUGCAAGUCGAGCGAACAGACGAGGAGCUUGCUCCUCUGACGUUAGCGGCGGACGGGAGAGUAACACGUGGAUAACCUACCUAUAAGACUGGGAUAACUUCGGGAAACCGGCGCUAAUACCGGAUAAUAUAUUGAACAGCAUGGUUCAAGAGUGAAAGACGGUUUUGCUUUCACUUAUAGAUGACUCCGCGCCGCAUUAGCUAGUUGGUAAGGUAACGGCUUACCAAGGCAACGAUGCGUAGCCGACCUGAGAGGGUGAUCGGCCACACUGGAACUGAGACACGGUCCAGACUCCUACGGGAGGCAGCAGUAGGGAAUCUUCCGCAAUGGGCGAAAGCUUGACGGAGCAACGCCGCGUGAGUGAUGAAGGUCUUCGGAUCGUAAAACUCUGUUAUUAGGGAAGAACAAAUGUGUAAGUAACUAUGCACGUCUUGACGGUACCUAAUCAGAAAGCCACGGCUAACUACGUG